rnacentral:rRNA from 1 species
ACGAACGCUGGCGGCGUGCCUAAUACAUGCAAGUAGAACGCACAGUUUAUACCGUAGCUUGCUACACCAUAGACUGUGAGUUGCGAACGGGUGAGUAACGCGUAGGUAACCUGCCUGGUAGCGGGGGAUAACUAUUGGAAACGAUAGCUAAUACCGCAUAAUAUUAAUUAUUGCAUGAUAAUUAAUUGAAAGGUGCAAUUGCACCACUACCAGAUGGACCUGCGUUGUAUUAGCUAGUAGGUGAGGUAACGGCUCACCUAGGCGACGACACAUAGCCGACCUGCGAGGGUGAUCGGCCACACUGGGACUGAGACACGGCCCAGACUCCUACGGGAGGCAGCAGUAGGGAAUCUUCGGCAAUGGACGAAAGUCUGACCGAGCAACGCCGCGUGAGUGAAGAAGGUUUUCGGAUCGUAAAGCUCGGUUGUAAGAGAAGAACGGGUGUGAGAGUGGAAAGUUCACACUGUGACGGUAUCUUACCAGAAAGGGACGGCUAACUACGUG